rnacentral:rRNA from 1 species
AUUGAACGCUGGCGGCAGGCCUAACACAUGCAAGUCGAGCGGAGCGGCGGACGGGUGAGUAAUGCCUAGGAAUCUGCCUGGUAGUGGGGGAUACCGUCCGGAACCGGGCGUUAAUCCCGCAUCCUCUCAGUUCAGCCUAGGUCGUAUUAGCUAGUUGUCGGGGUAAAGGCCUACCAAGGCGACGAUCCGUAACUGGUCUGAGAGGAUGAUCAGUCACACUGGAACUGAGACACGGUCCAGACUCCUACGGGAGGCAGCAGUGGGGAAUAUUGGACAAUGGGCGAAAGCCUGAUCCAGCCAUGCCGCGUGUGUGAAGAAGGUCUUCGGAUUGUAAAGCACUUUAAGUUGGGAGGCGUUACCAACAGAAUAAGCACCGGCUAACUUCGUGCCAGCAGCCGCGGUAAUAC